CAUCAUUACGUUCUGUGCGCCCCUUGGCUGACGUGUAUGGCUUUGUCAGUGUCUUGACCUGCAAUUGGCUGCUGGCAGCCCGGCCUCCCGGAAGUGCGGACAUUGCCCUGGGCGUCUUGGUGGUGGCGAGUGACUCUCGCAGCGGUUGUCAGCGGCUUGACGUCCCCAGACGCUGUGCGGUGCGCCGGUAUACCCCAGGAAUUAGGUAGCCUGCAUACCUUGCAUUUCUGCACUGAUCCCCGUCUGUGGACCUCGGUGCCCCCUCCUUGCUUCCCUCGUGGUUUUCCUCUCUUUGGACCCGCACGUUUCAGAAAUCCAGCGUGGGACGAUGGUGUGCAUUCCUUGUAUCGUCAUUCCAGUGCUGCUCUGGAUCUUCAAAAAGUUCCUGGAGCCAUACAUAUACCCCGUGGUCAGUCGCAUAUGGCCGAGAAAAGCUGUACAGCAAUUGGACAAUAAGAAUACGGGCAAGGUAGACUGCAAGGGUGCAGAUACAAAUGGAUUCUCCACAAAAGGACCAACAGAGGUCUCCGAUAAAAAGAAAGACUAGUGUGGUUCUCUUGAAGGCCCUGGGCUGUUUCCAAAUGGACCUGAUAACAUGAAGCACCUUCUCUGUCUCUGACCUUUUUUCUCUGAGACCAGGAUUCUAGAUAAAUAGUUUAGCUUCUGCCUGAUACUAAUCAGGGAGUACAGGUAUUUAUAUUUAAAAUUCCAGUAGUUAUAUUUAAUGAGCAUACCUACGUUCCCUUUUCAUUAAAGUAGCUUUCAUUUCUAUUAUUCCGUUUUACUGAUAGGAACAAAUAGGAGGUCUGUGUGAGCAGACACUCAGAGCCCAGUCCUUAGGCCUUUGCCUUCUUUCUCAUGAGUUUGCCGUUUUCACUUCCCGUGGGUUCUUGUACCUUGAGUGGGAGGAGUCUUAGCGUGACACAGGGCGGUCCGUGGUGGGAUGCGAUGUGAUUACUGAUCACUACCAAGCGCAGUGGCCAGCAGAUGGCCGAGAAUAGUCACUGCUCCGAGGAAGCUGGGAAAGGUCUAACAUCAACAUCAUCGUCAGUCACACAACUUCUAAUUCUCUGUACUUCUAGUCCUGACAAUGUAUUAAACACCCAUUUAACUUGUGGUUCUUUCUUUUUGUCUCUUCAUAUUUGAAGGGUUCGUUGUUGCUGUUGUUGUUGUUGCUGUUGGUUUUUAGUUUCUUUGGUUUUUUUCUUUUUUUCUUUGGUUUUGUUUGUUUGUUUGUUUGUUUGUUUUGAGACAAGGUUUCUAUGUGGAGCCCUAGCUGUCCGAGUUUGUUCUGUAGACCAGGUUGGCCUUGAACUCACAAAGAUCUUCCUGCCUAUGCCUUCCUGCUGCUGGGAUUAAAGGCACACACCACUGCUGCCCAACAGAAAGGUAUAUAUCUUAAUAUAUAUAUAAAUAUAUAUUAAUACAAUAACAUAUUAUAAUAUAAUUAUAUAUAUAAUAUAUAUUAUAUAUGUAUUAAGGUUAACAAGUAAAAUCUCAGAACCGUGAUGCAUGAAGACAGUGGGUGAGCGGACGUCAGCACCACAGUGAGUGACUUCCACAGCAGCGCCUUGCCUGAUUUUGUCUAAAGCAGCUGGGGGAUCUGAUCUUGGGAAACGUCAAUCCUGUCCCUGAAGCCUGUGACCCCAGCUGAGGCAAGAGGAUUCCAAGUUCACACCUGGUUUCCACUGCAGAACGAGUUUGAAUCUAACUUAGACACAUUUCGUGUCAAAAUUUAAGGAUGCAGAAAGGGUUGGAGAUGUAGCCCAGUGACAAACUGUUUGCUUAACCUGAAGCCCUGGGUCCAGCCCACGCCCUGUGCGUCUGUCAGUGUAGUAGAGGAUGGUCUUGAACUUCUGCUCCUCCUGCCAGUACCUUCUAAGUGAUCCGGUCACAGGUGUGUACUAUCAUACCUGUGCUUCUGCCCCCAUCCCCACACCCCACACCCCACACCCCACACUCCACACCCCACACACUUUUGUUCUUUUGAAAUAGGGUCUCAUCACUUAGCGCUGAUUGGCCUAGAAUUCAUGACACCAGUAGCCUCCCAACUGCUUCCAUUAGAGGCAUGAGCCGCUAUUCCUCGUUUAAAAUAGAUGUUUGUAUCGAAUGCACACAUGAUUGGUUUUAUUACACAGCAGGGUUUUUUUGUUGGUUUCUCAGGGACGGGUGGGAAGAUUGUGUUUUGAAGCAAGGUCUCUACAUAGUUCUGGCCACCCUGGGGCUCAGUUCCAUCAGCUGGCUUCUGACAACAGUGCCAACAGGGCUCAGGACACUUGCUGCUUCUGUUAAAGACCUAAGUUUGGUUCCCAGCACCCACAUGGUGCCUCACAACCCUCAGUAAGUCCAGUUCCAGUGGAUCUGAUGCCCCCUUGAGAGCUCCUUUGGCACCAGAGAUGUGUGUGGUGUGCAUGCAAACAUGUAGGCAAAACACUCCUAUACCUAUAGGUAUAUAAAUCUGAAAAAAGGAAAACCAGCACCAUCUAUCAUAUCAUGUGCCAUCAAUUUAUCUUAUUUAUCAUUGCUUAUGACCACCUGUCAUCUGUCUUUGCAUCAUCUAGAUACUUAGCAAUCAUGUGGUAUCCAGAGUAUACUUGGCAACACUGUGGCUCUGAAUUACAUGGUUUCCACCUAUCAGUGCCCAUUCACUGAACUGAUUACAAAUUCAAUCUAGCUUUUAGUUCUGAAAUAUAAGGAGUUUAGGGGUGUUAGUCCAUGCCUGUAAUCUUAGCACUUGGGAUCUUGUGGCAACAGCAUACAGAGAGUCCAAAGUCAUCCUGGGUUACAGAGUGGAAUCCUGCUGCAAACAAAACUGAAGAAAAGGACUGGAGAGAUGGCUCAGCGGUUAAGAGCACUGACUGCUCUUCCAGAGGCCCUGAGUUCAAUUCCCAGUAACCACAUGGUGGCUCACAACCAUCUGUAAUGGGAUUCAAUCCCUUCUUCUGGUGUGUCUGAAGACAGCGACAGUGUACUCACAUACAUUAAAUAAAUAAAUAAAUAAAUAAAUAAAUAAAUAAAUAAAUAAAUAAAUAAAACAAAACUAAAGAAAAAGA
ensembl:lncRNA C18h18orf32 similar to human chromosome 18 open reading frame 32